rnacentral:rRNA from 1 species
UGGUAUGCACUGGCUCGCUGACUCCUCCUUCUUGUAGAACCGUAAUGCCAUUAAUUUGGUGUUGCGGGGAAACAGGACUGUUACUUUGAAAAAAUUAGAGUGUUUAAAGCAGGCCAACGCCUGAAUACAUUAGCAUGGAAUAAUGAAAUAGGACGUUCGAACCUAUUUUGUUGGUUUCUAGGAUUGACGUAAUGAUUAAUAGGGAUAGUUGGGGGCAUUAGUAUUCAAUUGUCAGAGGUGAAAUACUUGGAUUUAUUGAAGACUGACUACUGCGAAAGCAUUUGCCAAGGAUGUUUUCAUUAAUCAAGAACGAAAGUUAGGGGAUCGAAGACGAUCAGAUACCGUCGUAGUCUUAACCAUAAACUAUGCCGACUAGGGAUCGGAUGAUGUUAAUUUUUUAAUGACUCAUUCGGCGCCUUACG